rnacentral:tRNA from 1 species
UUUAACCCCCUCCUCUACUA